ACGGAUAUGCUGCAAUUGGUAGACAGAUCUCACUUAGGAUGAGAAAGGUAUAAGUUCGAAUCUUAUUAUCCGUA
rfam:Talaromyces stipitatus strain ATCC 10500 mitochondrion, partial genome.